rnacentral:ncRNA from 4 species
GGGGCAUGCCUGUUCGAGCGUCAUU